rnacentral:rRNA from 1 species
UACGUAGGGUGCGAGCGUUAAUCGGAAUUACUGGGCGUAAAGCGUGCGCAGGCGGUUUUGUAAGCCAGAUGUGAAAUCCCCGGGCUCAACCUGGGAAUGGCAUUUGGGACUGCAAGGCUUGAGUACGGCAGAGGAGACUGGAAUUCCUGGUGUAGCAGUGAAAUGCGUAGAUAUCAGGAGGAAUACCGAUGGCGAAGGCAGGUCUCUGGGCUGACACUGACGCUCAUGCACGAAAGCGUGGGGAGCAAACAGG